AUGUCGGAGAAGUUUGAGAUGUCUAUGAUGAGUGAACUCAAAUUCUUUCUCGGUUUGCAAAUCAAGCAAACUAAGGAAGGUACCUUUGUCUCUCAAACAAAGUACACCAUGGACUUAUUCAAGAAGUUCAAUAUGCAAGAAUGCAAAGGUAUGACUACAUCCAUGCCUACUAGUGGACAUCUUGAUUUGACCAAAGAUGGUGAACCGGUUGAUCAAAAGGUUUACCGCUCCAUGAUUGGUUCAUUGUUAUAUCUAUGUGCCUCUCGUCCCGAUAUUAUGCUAAGUGUGUGCACAGGGACGGAGCCAGGAUUUGAGCAUAGGGGGGCCAAGACAAUGGCACAUGAGAUUUUUUUACUCUUAUGUUAA
rnacentral:rRNA from 1 species